UCUCUGAUAGUAUAUCGGUUAGUACACGCGCCUGUCAUUGGUACGCGCGAAAGCUGGGUUCGACUCCCAGUCAGAGAG